UACGAGAGGCCCAAACGUUAUUCGGAAUUACUGGGCUUAAAGAGUUCGUAGGCGGCGCAACAAGUGGGGUGUGAAAGCCCUCGGCUCAACCGAGGAAUUGCGCUCCAAACUGUUGUGCUUGAGGGACCUAGAGGUGAGCGGAACUGAUGGUGGAGCGGUGAAAUGCGUUUGAUAUCAGGAGGAACACCGGUGGCGAAGGCGGGGUCUCUGGGCCGAUAUUGACGCUGGAGGAGCGAAAGCGUGGGGAGCGAACAGG
rnacentral:rRNA from 1 species